rnacentral:rRNA from 1 species
UACGGAGGGUGCAAGCGUUAUCCGGAUUCACUGGGUUUAAAGGGUGUGUAGGCGGAUAUUUAAGUCAGUGGUGAAAUCUCCGGGCUCAACCCGGAAAUUGCCAUUGAUACUAUUUAUCUUGAAUUCUGUUGAGGUAGGCGGAAUACAUCAUGUAGCGGUGAAAUGCUUAGAGAUGAUGUAGAACACCGAUUGCGAAGGCAGCUUACUAAACAGAUAUUGACGCUGAGGCACGAAAGCGUGGGGAUCAAACAGG